UACAGAGGUCUCGAGCGUUGUUCGGAUUCAUUGGGCGUAAAGGGUGCGUAGGUGGCUAGGUAAGUCGGAUGUGAAAUCCCGGGGCUCAACCCCGGAACUGCAUUCGAUACUGCUUGGCUUGAGUACUGGAGAGGAGAUUGGAAUUUACGGUGUAGCAGUGAAAUGCGUAGAUAUCGUAAGGAAGACCAGUGGCGAAGGCGGGUCUCUGGACAGUUCCUGACACUGAGGCACGAAGGCCAGGGGAGCAAACGGG
rnacentral:rRNA from 1 species